rnacentral:lncRNA from 1 species
ACCCUUUUCCCCCCCUCCUGCACACCCUCUUCUUCUUUUUCUUCUUUCUCAGAAAAUUAACACCGAUAUGACUGUUUUGUCUGUGAGUACUCCUCCGGCUCCUCAGGCUCCUCUGGCGGCCACCGGACCUCGGACACUGGUGGUGGGUGCAUCCGGGUUCAUAGGGCGGUUUGUGGCGGAAGCCAGCCUCUCCUCCGGCCACCCCACCUAUGUCCUAGUCCGCUCCUCCGCCACGACCUCCUCUUCCAAGGCCAGCACCAUCAAGUCCCUCGAAGACCAGGGCGCCAUCCUUGUUACCGUAAUGCCCUCCAUUUUACUCUCUGUUUUACAUGAUUUUCCAUCUUCUAACUCACUCUUCGACUGUUUUCUGCAAUAUUUUUGUUCAUAGGGACUGUGGGUUUAACUAAAUCACUAGGGAAACACCCGCUUUAAGCUUCUGAAAAAGGCUUCAAAGUCAAUUUUCUGAUCGUCAGAUUAAACGUCAGAGAUGGCGGGUUGACGGAGAUGAAAAGGAUAACAGACAGUCAAUAGCUAUAAAUAAUUUUCCAUUUUGAAUCAACAAGAAUAUAAAUUAAUAUAACGUGAUAUAUAUGUAUGUAAACAUGACC